UCAGUGGACUUCUCUGGAUCUUGCUAAGAUGUCUCGUGAAAUUAGAGGCAGUCCAGAGAUCUUGUUUGCAAGAGAAGUUGCAAGAGCAUGCAGAAUGGGGAACUUUAUUUCCUUCUUCCGUCUUGCAAGGAAAGCUACAUAUUUGGAGGCAUGUUUGAUGCAUGCUCAUUUUGCAAAGGUAGAAUUAUUGUCUCUAAAAGCUGUUCAUCAACAUACCCUUUCAGUGGAAUUUAUUCUUCCUAAGCUCUUAUAUUUCCUAGGCCAACUGUGUUUGAAAUACUGUAAUGGCAACAA